GAUAAACGCUGGCGGCGUGCCUAACACAUGCAAGUCGAGCGAUUCUCUUCGGAGAAGAGCGGCGGACGGGUGAGUAACGCGUGGGUAACCUGCCCUGUACACACGGAUAACAUACCGAAAGGUAUGCUAAUACGAGAUAAUAUGCUUUUAUCGCAUGGUAGAAGUAUCAAAGCUUUGCGGUACGGGAUGGACCCGCGUCUGAUUAGCUAGUUGGUAAGGUAACGGCGUACCAAGGCGACGAUCAGUAGCCGACCUGAGAGGGUGAUCGGCCACAUUGGAACGGAGACACGGUCCAAACUCCUACGGGAGGCAGCAGUGGGGAAUAUUGCACAAUGGGCGAAAGCCUGAUGCAGCAACGCCGCGUGAGCGAUGAAGGCCUUCGGGUCGUAAAGCUCUGUCCUCAAGGAAGAUAAUGGCGGUACUUGAGGAGGAAGCCCCGGCUAACUACGUGCCAGCCGCCGCCGUAA
rnacentral:rRNA from 1 species